CCUACGGGUGGCAGCAGUGAGGAAUAUUGGUCAAUGGGGGAAACCCUGAUGCAGCGACGCCGCGUGAGUGAAGAAGUAUUUCGUUAUGUAAAGCUCUAUCAGCAGGGAAGAAAAUGACGGUACCUGACUAAGAAGCCCCGGCUAACUACGUGCCAGCAGCCGCGGUAAUACGUAGGGGGCAAGCGUUAUCCGGAUUUACUGGGUGUAAAGGGAGCGUAGACGGCAGUGCAAGUCUGGAGUGAAAGGCGGUGGCUCAACCCUCGGACUGCUCUGGAAACUGUACGGCUGGAGUGCAGGAGAGGUAAGCGGAAUUCCUAGUGUAGCGGUGAAAUGCGUAGAUAUUAGGAGGAACACCAGUGGCGAAGGCGGCUUACUGGACUGUAACUGACGUUGAGGCUCGAAAGCGUGGGGAGCAAACAGGAUUAGAUACCCUGGUAGUC
rnacentral:rRNA from 1 species